GUUACUAGGGGACACUGUGACACAUGGGGACACUGUGAGACGUGGGGACACUGGGAGACUUGGGGACACUGGGGGACUCAGACUAUGUAUCGCAGUGUCCCUGUGUAUCACAGUGUCUCAGUGCCCCAUGUCUCCCAGUGUCCCCAUGUCUCCCAGUGUCCCCUAGUGUCUGUGUCCCCAUGUAACU